GCUGAUGGUGAAAUGGUUAACUGUGGAGUUUGGGGAACCGCUUAGCAAACCCACUGUUGUGGUGUAUGCCGAAAUCAAGAAGGCGGAAGGAAUGCCAGAUCACACAGAAGGCCACAGACUGCAGCGAGCGAGCUGGAAAACAGGCUUAUCAGUGUUUACCCAGCGUGGCCCAGACCUCCGCAUGACCUCAGGGACAGCAGCGUGUUGGCAGAACGUGGAUGGCAGGCUGGACACAGCAGCCUGUGCACUACCUCCCUGCCUUCACAAUGGCAGAGAUGGCACUGGGGGCCUAAGCCAGUAAAACAACUCCCAAACUGACCAAUCAUCACCCAGCAGCCACCAAUCUCUGAAUACACGCAGGGAUAACACGUGCACCACAUCCAGGACGGCUCAGAGUAAUUACAGAGGGGAAGAGGCCCAGGCAUCCACCUCCAUGCAAGCGGGAGCACAUGCUGGGUCGUGAAGACGUGCACCCUGGACUCUGACUGAGUCUUGACAUCAAAAGCAUCUCUGAAAAGCACCGAGUGAAAUGACCCACCUGGGGCAGAAGCUCAAUGAGGAUGCUCACUGAGACCCCUGGAGUGCCAGACUACCCCGACAAAAGGAUAUCUCAGUGGACCAUUCUGUGCAAAGGGGACUCAUGGGCUUGGAGACGCCACAGCAUGCCCUAGGAACACCAGUCAGUGGAUCUGGGCUUGCAGACACCGUCAGGCACACCUUUUUUGGUUGUUUGGUUUUGUUUUGUGACUUCACUUCAAGACUGCUCCUUCUCAAAGGAGAAAGCUCCCCACAGAAGGUUCAGGAUUGUCAACUGCAUGGGCCACGUGAAGCCCUCAGAUGGCCAGGAGCCAAGAAUUCCAUUGAUCAUCGGCGUAUCACAGCAAAGCCUGAAGCCCACCCUUCACUAGAAACCACUCACGUGAGGAAAGUGGCAUUGGAUCCCAUGGCCCCUCCUGGCUCCUAGGUGAUCUACUCUGAAGGUUCAGGUGAUAGCUGGGGCCCAGAUGUCCAACAAAGGAGCUCAAUAUCCUGAUGUUUUAUUGUCUGAAGUAUGAGCAUCCAGGACAUCCAGCUGCAGGGGGUGCCAGGCAGUGAGGAGCCUAGAGAAGCAGACUCAGGAGCGCUCUGGAGGUUCCUCAAUGGUACCAGAGUUUGCCUACUCAACUGGAAAUAGCUGCCUGAUAGUGAGACUGGGAUGGCCGAGCCCCAAUUUUUACAGAAAAAAGGAAAGGGAAGGUGUUCUAGAGGUGGGAUACAAGACUAGCUUUGGGGUACACAGGAGGGCUGGUGAGGAAGACUUAGACACUGGGAGUUCUGAUGCUAAGUUUCUUGUUCUAGGUAUAUUCAACAUGUUCCCUAAGGCCUUGGACCACGGUUGUCAUAGUGUGGCUUUACAUUCAGAUUUUCCAGAGAGCCCCCAUAUGCUCAAGGAUGGAGGUGUAGUAUCGAUCAUACCAGUACCCUGCCCCCUCUUCAGUAAAGCUAAGAGAUUCUGUUUCUCACAAUACCCAUACAGUGUGGCCUCUUGCCUAACAGACAUGUGUGCUUUGAACCAUGGUUUCUGUUAGUAGAAAGUGUGUGAGCAACUGCAUACCACAUAGAUUUGUAAGAAAACAGGGACGAGCAUCUUUUCAGUCACUGGAACGAAGUCUCCUACGGGAAGACCCAGUGUAUCAGGACUGCACACAGAAAUCACUGGAACAGUCCACAGCAGCACACAAAAUAAACCUCAUGAGACAUCUGAUCUGGUUUAAUUCACAAUUUAAUUCUUCAAAGCAGGUUAUUGGGCUACCAGUUAAACAUUAGUGUUGGAGAAUGACAUGUUUAAUGUAUUUACUAUAUCUGAUAAUUUAAAAUAAAUCCCGGUACUUAUGAUGAUGACAGCUACAGAUAACCAUUCAUGUUAAAUACUCUUUGAUUCUCUCUUAUUCGUACAUUACAUUGUAGAUGGACAUUUUAAGUGGUAAUGCAGACAAACAUGAUUUAAGACAAUAUAUGCAUAUUAAAAUUCUGUAUCUCUUGAUAAGGUAAAAAAUAAAGCUAUAUAAAUUGAUAGACAUUUUUCUGCAAAAUUAGAAGCACACUUUCGUAACACUUCCAACACACACCUCUUCGUUAAAGCUUUGUUCAGACAACAGCAUCAGAACCGCUCUGUCUAUUCACCCGUCUUCUAGCUCUUCACACAAAGGAUUGCAUUCGCCAAGGGACUGUUUUUCCUGUUUUUACAGUCGUAUGUGGGAAAUUUCCAAAAAGAAAUGUAGAACACGAGGGCCCGCUGUUCUGUGGCAUUGCCGACGAAUUACAUUAAGAUGAGAUAAAUGUGGUUGGCUGAGUCCAGUAGCAGUCAGUGCAGACAGACCUUGAGCUUGGGUUCAGAGGCCCAGACCACCAGAGGAAAUGCUCUCAAAGUCCACCCCAUGGUUCCAGUCCUGGCGGUGUCAUCCCCCACUCUGCUACCUCAGCCUUCAGAGCCUCCUCCCAUCCAGGAGCUCCCUGGGCGGGGCCUUUGGUCUGCUUGUACUCAGGAAUGAAUUGCUGGGAUUGAGGGUCAUGUUUUCCUAGCUAGUAUAAUGGCGAGGGGCAGACACCGCACUCAGGGUGGCAUGCGGCUUUGCGUUGGUUAGCCUGGAUCCCGCUGGCUGGGCUGAGGGCGCAGAGGGGGGUCCUCAGGUCAGUCCAGCACUGCUGUCACCCACAGCCCAAGCACCCUUCCUAGGUGUGUGUGUGUGAAUGUAAGGAGCCUGAUGGUCGCAGAGGGCAAAAUCUCUGCACAGAGCUACCAGAAUGGAGGCUGGAAGGAAAAUGCACACGUGUGUUUGUGUGUGUGUGUGCACAUAUGUAUACAUGUUAUACUAGCUUGUAAAUGGCCAGGAAGUAUGUGGGAAAGUAAGAGAACACAUAUGAAGCCAGGGCUCCUGGUACAUACAUGAGAUGAACUGCUUGUAGGUAACAGAACCAUGAAUUCUGGCCAACAUACGUUACAUGUGCAACGCAAUUAAGAAGAUGCUUCACUUGAGUUAAAAGUUACUGGCUUUAAGGAAAGUAAGAAGCAGCCGCUGUGAGGUGGGGCGGAACAUCUUCUGCACUCACAUUCGGUCUCAUUUCUGCAUUUCACCUGUGCCCUCAUCUGUUUCAAACUCUUAGGCACCUUCACGUGGUAAUUUCCUAAGCACAAUUUUAAAAAAACAUUGGAGUGUGCACAAAGCCUGGGGUGUUCCUAUGUAAACUUAGGCUAUGGGGGGUAGGGUGUGAGAGAGUGUCCUCACACCUAGACUGGGUUGCAGAAUGUAGAGCCUGCAGGAAGAAUAUUCUGUGUUUAAGGCUGAAGGAUGGAAAUAAAAAAAAAAAAAAACAGAAAA